AGGGAAAGUUGCAAAGAACUUUGAAGAGAGAGUUCAAGAGGGCGUGAAACCGUUUAGACGAAAACGGCUAGAGCUGAUGAAAGUCUGAUGGAUUCAUCUGAUCAGAGUUAGCAUGUGCUGGUCCCCGGAUCUUUGCCGACUGGGGAUAGGCGUUUAUUGCUGGACUCUGUCAGUGCAUUUCCUUCAGAUGUACGUCGAGGGCGAUGAUGGCGCGGUGGGAAGUCUAGUGUUGCCGGCUGGCGCUUUUGCGUUAGUGUCCCACACUGAUGGACCACGUGUUGCCGCUAUCGUUGGUGCUUAUGCAUCCACAUCGUCUCGGUGGCGCUGGAACUGGGGAUUCUGAAUACUCGGUGGUACUCUGUUCGCAGGUCCAUUGAAUCAGACUCUAGUGUUUAGAAGGCGUUUAACUGAGUUGGUGCAGCCUCGGCGUUUCAAGUCAGCCUCCUAGCCGACCCGUCUUGAAACACGGACCAAGGAGUUUAACAUGUGUGCGAGUGAUUGGGUGGAAAACCCAAGAGCGUAAUGAAAGUGAAAGUUGGCUUUGGUCGACUUAUAUGGGAUCCUCAUAUCCUUGUGGUUGAGGCGCACCAUAGUCCCGCCCCAUCUGCAUCGUCAGUGGGUCGGAGAUAGAGCACAUAUGUUGAGACCCGAAAGAUGGUGAACUAUGCCUGAGCAGGAUGAAGCCAGAGGAAACUCUGGUGGAAGUCCAUAGCGGUUCUGACGUGCAAAUCGAUCGUCAGACUUGGGUAUAGGGGCGAAAGACUAAUCGAACCAUCUAGUAG
rnacentral:rRNA from 1 species